rnacentral:lncRNA from 1 species
ACCCUCCCACGAGACAGGAGCUUCCUCUGUUGAAUCAGCUUGUAGAAGACUUUAAUGUGAUCCCAAAUGUUACUCACCAGAAAACAGGCUUGUGGGACAAAUCUGUUGAAUGCACCAACUUCCUUAAUCAGUUAUAUUUUAAGGCACAUAUGAGAAUCCAUAAUGGAGAAAAAUUCUUUGAACUGACUCAAUUUUCAGGAGAUUUUACAUGUUCUACAAGGGGAGUUCUGCCUAUCAAAUGUACAUCAUAAAAGCCUUUGAAUGUAAAAUUUGUGAGAAAGUCUUUGGGUAUUCUUUAAGUCUUAAUAGUCACAUGCAAACACACACUGGGGAGAAACAUUAUGAAUGUAAAAUAUGUAAAAAAUUCUUCACUACUUCUUCAAGUCUAACUGAACACUUCAGAAUUCAUACUAGAGAGAAACCUUAUAAAUGUAAGGAAUAUGGAAACGCUUUUACUAAGCACUCAAGACUUUCUUCACGUGUAUAAACACAUUCGGGAAAGAAGUCUUGUGUAUGUAAGUUAUGUGGGAGAUCCUUCAUGAUUCCUUCAAAUAUGACUGAGCAUUUCAGAAUUCAUACUGGAGAGAAACCCUACCAAAGUAAAGAAUGUGAUAAAUGUGAUAAGCGUGGGAAAGCUUUCCAUACUUCCUCCUACCUAUGGAAACAUGAAAGAACUCACAGUGCAGAGAAACCUUAUGAAUGUAGGGAAUGUGGCAAAGCCUACAAAAGGUGUUAUCUAUUGCAUGCACAUUUAAAAACUCACAUGGUAAGAAACCCUUUGAUUGCAAGGUAUGUUGGAAAAUCUUUUAAACGUUCUGCAUGCUGUAAUAAGCACAUUCAUCCUCACAGUGGAGUCAAACCUUGUAAAUGUAAGUACUGUGGGAAAGACUUCACUGUUUCCUCAAGUCUGAUUGGACAAAUAAGAACACACUGGAGAGAGACCCUAUAAAUGUAAAGAAUGUGGGAAAGCCUUUACUACAGCCUCAUGUAGGGUUGUCCAUAAGAGAACUCACACUGGAGAGAAACGCUAUGAAUGUAAGGAGUGUGGGAAAGCUCACAAGAGGUAUUACCUACUGACUGGACAUGUAAAGACUCACAUGGGGGAAAAGCCUU